rnacentral:rRNA from 1 species
CUACAGCAUAGUAGAGCGUGUGUCAUUUAUAGGUAGUAGCAUAUCAUAGCGGAGGAGGGCCUACAACUAUGGUCUUUUAUAGGAAGGAAGGGAUCCUCGUCUUGAGGGAGGGGGGGGGUCCUUUAAACGAAGGAAGAAGACCCUGCUCCCAACAAAGGAGAAAGCCCUUGCUAUGUAAUUUUACACGCACAUAUUAAAAGUUAUAGAAUGAUAUAUAGCGUGUAACAGCACAAAUAAAUAUACAACUUUCAGCAACGGAUCUCUUGGCUCUCGCAUCGAUGAAGAACGCAGCGAAAUGCGAUAAGUAAUGUGAAUUGCAGAAUUCAGUGAAUCAUCGAAUCUUUGAACGCACCUUGCGCUCCUUGGUAUUCUGAGGAGCAUGCCUGUUUGAGUGUCAUGAAAUUCUCAUCUGCUUUAUUUUUUGUGGUUGAAGUGAAGUUGGACUUGGAGGAAUCAUUGCUGGCGUGACCUUUUAGGUUGCUUGUUAGCUCCUCUUAAAUGGAUGAACUUUCCAUUUACAAAGUAACAUCAAUUGUGAUAAUUAUCUACGUUGGGAUGGAGGUUGGUACUAGGAAAGGUAUAUCUUUGGAAGUUCCAAUCCUUGGAUGAAACCAAAUGACAAAUUUGACCUCCAAUCAGGGAAGGACUACCCCGCUGAAACUUAAGCAUAUCAAUAAGCGGAGAGAGAUUG